rnacentral:ncRNA from 1 species
UGACCUCAAAUCAGGUAGGAUUACCCGCUGAACUUAAGCAUAUCAAUAAGCGGAGGAAAAGAAACCAACUGGGAUUACCUUAGUAACGGCGAGUGAAGCGGUAAAAGCUCAAAUUUGAAAUCUGGUACUUUCAGUGCCCGAGUUGUAAUUUGUAGAAUUUGUCUUUGAUUAGGUCCUUGUCUAUGUUCCUUGGAACAGGACGUCAUAGAGGGUGAGAAUCCCGUUUGGCGAGGAUACCUUUUCUCUGUAAGACUUUUUCGAAGAGUCGAGUUGUUUGGGAAUGCAGCUCAAAGUGGGUGGUAAAUUCCAUCUAAAGCUAAAUAUUGGCGAGAGACCGAUAGCGAACAAGUACAGUGAUGGAAAGAUGAAAAGAACUUUGAAAAGAGAGUGAAAAAGUACGUGAAAUUGUUGAAAGGGAAGGGCAUUUGAUCAGACAUGGUGUUUUUGCAUGCACUCGCCUCUCGUGGGCUUGGGCCUCUCAAAAUUUCACUGGGCCAACAUCAAUUCUGGCAGCAGGAUAAAUCAUUAAGAAUGUAGCUACUUCGGUAGUGUUAUAGCUUUUUGGAAUACUGUUAGCCGGGAUUGAGGACUGCGCUUCGGCAAGGAUGUUGGCAUAAUGGUUAAAUGCCGCCCGUCUUGAAACACGGACCAAGGAGUCUAACGUCUAUGCGAGUGUUUGGGUGUAAAACCCGUACGCGUAAUGAAAGUGAACGUAGGUUGGGGCCUUCGGGUGCACAAUCGACCGACCUUGAUGUUUCGGAUAGGUUUGAGUAAGAGCAUAGCUGUUGGGA